AUUAUGGUCAGGAUUAAAUCAUCACGCAUAUGAAGAUGUCGGGAUCAGGGCCUGACACCUCGGAGAUGUUCAGCAAACUGUUUCCUUUCCCAAAGCACAUGGAUGGUACCUUUAGAGGCUCUGCAAAUCUUCCUUCCCUUUCGUUUACCCCUGAAGCUUGCUUGACCUGUGAGGCAGCUGGUUGAAACAUCCAGAGGCUUUUUUCUUAUCUGUAAAUUUGACAGUAGGUCCUAGACUCUUGGAGUUUUGGGAUCUGUGAUCUCUAAAAAGAGGCAUCUUACAGCAUAAUUGCAUCCAAAUACAGAUACAGGAGCAUGGAGAGUGUGCCAAUGCUCUACCAAGCAGUCACCCAGUGGACAAGCAUCUAUAAACUUCCUUCAAACCAGAAAGUAGAUUUUUUUUAUGAUUUUAAUUUUUUUUUCCAUUAUAGCUGGUUUAUGGAGAAACUAGAUUUUAAAAAUCCAUUAUUUGGGGGGAAGCAUUUUAAAUGAGAUUUGUCAGGAGUUAUGGAUUUUUUUUCUCAAAAAAAUAACUGCAUUCAUUCAUUCACUCAUUUAUUCUUUACUGAGUGUUGACAGUGGGUUGGUCACCAUGCUAUAAACACUGGAGGUGUAAACACCUAAUCCAGGGUGGAUGGCAGCCCCAUAAACUGUUGACUAGUUAAAUGUAAAUUAAAAGCUGGAAUAGAGGAUAUGAUGCUAUUGGAAUGACUGGUCCAUUGAGACACCUGGGCCAAGGAAAUCCUUGCAGGAAGUACUUGAAUAGUCAAGAGGGCUGGGAAGUGCAUUCGGGCUUCUGGUGCAUCAUUAGAGCUGAGAAAACAUACAAUUCUCCAAAGAUUUGGGAGAAGGGUAAGUGUCACUGGGUGGUGUCAGAGCAGAGAGUGUUGUGUGCUGUUUGCAUGUAAAUGUAUUAGAGUGCUGGUGGGAUAAGAUUCCAACAUUAGAUGCUAUCAGUCAUUGGCUGCCUGCUGUGUUCCAUUGCACUUUGCAUGAUUGUGCCAUUUUGCUUUUGAAGAAACUGAGAUUCUUCAGUUUGACUAAGAGGUCAGGACUAGCCAGUGCUAUACUUGGAAUUCCAUCCCAACUUUCUGGUUCAAAGGCUGCGUUUGAGCUCUACUGACCUCCAAGGCACUGCUUUAACGAGGACACAGAAAGAAUAAAAUAAGGUCGUGCACCCAAGAAACUAGUUGUUAGAGUAAGAUUUAGAUGGGAACAGAAGCUUUGAGAUUUUAGCAAGAUGUGCUCAGUCCCAGCCUGGGGGCAGUUGAGCUGCCAAGUUCAUGGCUGGGAGGAAAUUUGAUGGAGAAGGAGCUUUUGGAAUUAGGUCUUGCAAUAUGAUUAGGGCUUUAGAACACUCAGAAGAGGUAAGGGCACAGCAGUCAAGGAGAACUAGACUCUGGGAAGCACAGACCUAAUUCUGGUUAGGGAAUAAAUCACCUGUCAAGGGUAGGAGUAGGAGUAGAAGAGAUUGGGAAGACUUUUUUGUUUGUUUGUUUGUUGGUUUUUAUGGCUGCACCCAUGACAUGUAGAAGUUCUCAGGCUAGGGGUCGAAUCGGAGCUGCAGCUGCCAGCCUAAGCCGCAGCCACAGCAAUGCUGCAUCUGCAACCUGUACCACAGCUCAUGGCAAUGCUGGAUUCUUAGCCCACUGUGGGGGGCUGCAUCUUUAAGGAUACUAACCAGGUUCUUAACCCGCUGAGCCACAAUGGGAACUCCUGGGAAGGCCUUUUAAACAUGGCUCCAGGACACGAGGCAUUUUGUGCCAGUUCCUUUUUUGACUAAGUGUGACACCUUAGUUAGACAAGGCAUUUGGCCUCCUUUAUUUAAUCUUGUUUUUCCCCCUCAACUGUCAGGAAUGGUCUUGAGAACUGUCAUGAGGUUAAGUCUGACACUAUGAAGAAAGCAGUCAGAAGUCACAGAUGGGAAGGCGCUCUGUCAGCCUAGGGAGUUGUGCUGUAAUGAAUAACAGCAGCAUGGCCCAGAGCAGUAGGUCCCCAUGGCAGGAGGAGGGGAGAUGAGCUUGACUCUCACACCUAUCAGAGACGCCUCUCCAUCAGGCAGCAGACACCUAGCUCAGCCCUGAAACUCAGCUUACAACAAGUGAAACUGUCACUGUUUAAGCUUUCAGUAAUCUAGGGAGAGUUUGGGGCCAUUCAACAUUAUUAGACCACUUUUUGACUGGACCAAUUAAAACACGGAUACGCCACCCUUUGUGCUUUGAGAUACAGGUCAUCCACUUUUGCCUCCCCAGAUCUCAGUUUCCCCGUCGGCAACACAAGGAAGUAGAGGCAGAUGUUCCCUAUGGCUGUCUUCGGAUAUAAUGGUUUGUGACGAUGGCAAAUGACAAUUCAUCCGGGGUCCCCUGUUCCUCAAAAUAUUGUUCCAUGGGAUGCUAUCAUGUAUCAAGCAAAAGUCAAAAUGAAACAAGUAAAAGAAGACAAAGUAACCAGAAAGAGGAAGGGACUCUACUGCCAAAUUGGGUUAAACAAAAUUAGACAGGGCUUUUUACUGAAACCGAUUUGUCUACAUCAUCAUUUCCUCCCAGAGUUAGUGUGCAGCAGAUUAUACUGGGCAAAAUAAUACACUAGGCUUCAUCUAAUGAAUUCAGACCCUUGGCAGUUCUUUUUGAGGCCUGGGACCAAGGGUGAUGCAGUAGAGAAGGCCCUGGACUGGGUGCCUGGUCCCCAGAUAUCCUGUUUGAAGUCGGGAUAUGUCCUCCUCCCUGUUGUGUAACCCUGGACAAGUCACUGCCUCGCCUUCCCUAGAAUUCAAAUGAAUUGGAUGAAACGAUCUCUGAGGCUUCUUCUGGUUCCAGGCGUUUAUGAAUACAAAGUUGUCUGUAGCUUAUGCAUUCAUUCUUUCAUUCACUUAGCAAACGUGCAGAGCAUAUAAUGUGUGCUCACAACUGGAGAAGAUUAAAAAUUCUGUCCACUACCAGCCCUGGAGGAGCUCCCCAGCCCCAUGGACAAGACAGACACAUUCCCAGGCAAUGAGAUUCCAGAGUGACCAGUACCUGUGUCCAAGCAUGGCUCAGAGAGGGCAUCUCAUCAGCCUGGGGGAGGGGGUGGUUAGAAAUGAUUUAGUGGAGAUGCCACCUGAAGGAUGGAUGAAAAUUAAUCUGGUAAUAAAAGGAGCUCUGGUU
rnacentral:lncRNA from 1 species